UAGGGAAUCUUCGGCAAUGGACGAAAGUCUGACCGAGCAACGCCGCGUGAGUGAAGAAGGUUUUCGGAUCGUAAAACUCUGUUGUUAGAGAAGAACAAGGACGUUAGUAACUGAACGUCCCCUGACGGUAUCUAACCAGAAAGCCACGGCUAACUACGUGCCAGCAGCCGCGGUAAUACGUAGGUGGCAAGCGUUGUCCGGAUUUAUUGGGCGUAAAGCGAGCGCAGGCGGUUUCUUAAGUCUGAUGUGAAAGCCCCCGACUCAACCGGGGAGGGUCAUUGGAAACUGAGAGACUUGAGUGCAGAAGAGGAGAGUGGAAUUCCAUGUGUAGCGGUGAAAUGCGUAGAUAUAUGGAGGAACACCAGUGGCGAAGGCGGCUCUCUGGUCUGUAACUGACGCUGAGGCUCGAAAGCGUGGGGAGCAAACAGG
rnacentral:rRNA from 1 species